UUAUUAGAUCAAAACCAAACGUCCUCGUGACGUCCACUUGGUGACUCUGAAUAACUUUCGCCGAUCGUACGGCUUCACGCCGACGACGUAUCGUUCGAGUCCGUGCCCUAUCAACUGUCGACUGUGGCAUAGACGCCCACAGUGGUUUUGACGGGUAACGGGGAAUCAGGGUUCGAUUCCGGAGAGGGAGCCUGAGAAACGGCUACCACUUCUAAGGAAGGCAGCAGGCACGCAAAUUACCCAUUGGUCGAAGACCGAGGUAGUGACGAAAAAUAACGAUACCGGACUCAUCCGAGGCCCGGUGAUCGGAAUGAGUACACUUUAAAUCCUUUAACGAGGAUCUAUUGGAGGGCAAGUCUGGUGCCAGCAGCCGCGGUAAUUCCAGCUCCAAUAGCGUAUAUUAAUGCUGCUGCGGUUAAAAAGCUCGUAGUUGGAUCUGGGUCUACGGCGAGCAGCCACAUAGUAUUGAAUGCUAUGUGUGAUUUGCUAGACGCGUCGUAAAAGUGCGUUAUACUCACAGUGUAUCGUACUGACGUAGCCCGUGCGUGUUUGUAUUGGUAUAUUCUGAUCUAAAAU
rnacentral:rRNA from 1 species